rnacentral:rRNA from 1 species
UACGAAGGGGACUAGCGUUGUUCGGAAUUACUGGGCGUAAAGCGCACGUAGGCGGAUUUGUUAGUCAGGGGUGAAAUCCCCGGGGGCUCAACCUCGGAACUGCCUUUGAUACUGCAAAUCUCGAGUCCGAUAGAGGUGGGUGGAAUUCCUAGUGUAGAGGUGAAAUUCGUAGAUAUUAGGAAGAACACCGGUGGCGAAGGCGGCCCACUGGAUCGGUACUGACGGCUGAGACGCGACGGCGUGGGGAGCAAACCGGG